rnacentral:rRNA from 1 species
GACGAACGCUGGCGGCGUGCUUAACACAUGCAAGUCGAACGGAAAGGCCCUGUUUCUGUGGGGUGUUCGAGUGGCUAACGUGUGAGUAACACGUGUGUCACCUGCCCUUUACUCUGGGAUAUCGUCAGUAAACUUGGGCUACUACCGCUUAUUCGCUCCAGCUGCAUGGUGUGGUUUGUAUAGUUUCGGCGGUUGGGGAUGGACUCGCGGCUUAUCUGCAUGUUGGUGGGCUAGUGGCUUACCAAGGCUUUGACGGGUAGCCGGCCUGAGAGGGUGACCGGCGACAUUGGGAAUGAGAUACGGGCAGGAAGCAGACGGGAAGAAGGAGUGAGGAGUAGUAGACAAAGGGCGGAAGCCUGAGGGAGCGACGACGGGUGCGGGGUGACGGACUUCGGGUUGUAGAGAGCUAGCGCCUGGGACGGAGCGUGAGUGACGGUAGUGGGUAAAGAAGCACCGGCUAACUACGUG